ensembl:lncRNA
AUAAAAAAAAAAAGAAAAAAGGAAAAAAAAAAAAAAAUUUUGCUUGUUUAGUUAUUCACUUAGUCUUUUAGUUAUCUACUCAUUUUUUUUUUAUUUAACCUCAUUUUUUUUGUGUGCAGAAAAAACAUAUUACAACUUCUAGAUUUAGAUGAACGGAUUUUUAAAACCCCAGAAAACAUUUUUUUUUCCAUCAAAAGAUUUCAGUUUAUUUCUGAAAAUGUUUAAAAAAAAUAAUUCAGAUUUAGUAUAUGGUUUGGACGUGGAAAACGUGUCGAAGAUGCUAAUAAAUAAAUAUACGACUUAUAUGAACGAAAAUGUUUUAAACAAAAAAGUAGAAUUUACAAGUGACAUAAAAAAUACAUUGGACAAUGGAUAUAACCACUUCAUGGAGCAACGUGAUAACUGGUACAACUGCAGAGAACUAAUUGAAGAUAUAGAAACGAAUAGAAAACAAUCUAAAAAGAUAGAAGAGUUUGUUUUAGGAGUUUGUGCAUGUACUAAAACGAUCAUUUAUAAUGAGAAAUAUUCGAAUAACUCAAUAAAAGAAUAUAAAGAGAAAAGUUUUAAAAAAGAUAAUAAGCAAAACGUGUAUCAUGAGGAAUUUAACAUCGAUUGUGAUAUGGAAAAAGAUUUUUACGAUACAUGUAUAAAUUAUAUUGAAUAUGAAGAUAUAUGUUUAUAUAACACUAUACGAACAAUAGGAUACUCAAUGUAUUGUUAUAAAAACAAUAUAUUUUUUUAUAAUUUAAAAAAAAAAGCUAAAAAAUAUUAUUUGAUUGGUUUUCAUGACUUUUUAAGUAGUAAUAAAUUUAUUAUGUGUAUAUUAAAAAAAAAAAAAAAAAUCAAAAGAUGAUGGUGGUAUAUUAUAUGUUCGUGGGUAUGAUUAUAAUAUGCUUCCAAAUUUAUCAAAAACAAAAAAUAAUAUGAAUAAAUUAAAAAAAAUUAUAAAAAUAUAUACAUUGAAUUAUUUAAAGGUUUUAUUAAUUUGUAAAAAAGUAAUAACUAAUGAAGAAAUAGGUAAAUAUCUUGUCUUAAAAAAUAUGAAUAAUAAAACAACUCUUAAUAUGUAUGAUACGAUGAAAUUAUUUUUUUUAUAUGACCUAAAAGUUGUUGGAAUUGUAGGAUUAAAAAGUACAUUAAAUGAUGGAGUGAAAGAAACAUUUCAAGAUAUAAUCAAAUUUGAUAUUAGGUCAUGGAUAUUUACAAAUGAUAAUCCUAAAGAUACAUAUUUGACAGCACUACAAUGUAACUUAAUACCAUCUAAUUCAAAUUUUUUUUUAAUUAACUUUUUUUCUUCAUCAGACAAUCUUAAACAAAUGACUGAAAAUUUAUUUUAUAAUUUUAUUUUUUCAAUGAAAAAACUAAAAUCGAAUUCGUAUGCUAUUGCGAUAAAUGAUUCGAGUAUUAUAAAUAUAAUGAAUGAUGAAAACGCAAUGCGAAUAUUCCUCUCAAUAGCCAUGAAAGCAACAGUGGUUUUGUUUUGUAACUUGCAAAAUGAUAUAAAAGGAAAGAUUAUAAAAAAGUUACGUGCGUUUAGUAAACCUGAGUUAACCAUAUUAGGCAUUGGGUUGACAUUGGAUGAUGCUUCUUUGUUAAAUCAUAGUACUAUAAGUGUAUGUUUAACUUUCAAAGAACAAAUGCAUGUGUUGUAUACUAUUUCUGAUUAUGCAUUGCAAAAGUUUAAAUAUCUUAGCGAGUUGUUAAUAAUAGGUCGAAAAAAUAGAUUUACUUUAUGGUAAGCAUAAAAAAAAAAAAAAAAAAAAAAAUCAUAAUACAUUUUCAGUUUGUGCAUUUUCAGUCUGUGCGUUUUCUUUUUAUGUUUCAUUUUUGUCGUAAGAUAAUUACAAUACUUUAUAUGUAUACAUAAGUUUAUAUUAUUUUAAUCCAUUUGUGUUUUCUACCCGUUUCUUCAUUUGUCUAUCCAUUUUUUUAUUUUCCAUUUUUUUACUUUCCAUUUUUUUACUUUCCAUUUUUUUUAUUUUCCAUUUUUUUAUUUUCCAUUUUUAUACUAUCCAUUUUUUUAUUUUCCAUUUUUUUUACUUUCCAUUUUUAUACUAUCCAUUUUUUUAUUUUCCAUUUUUCUACUUUCCAUUUUUCUACUUUCCAUUUUUCUACUUUCCAUUUUUCUACUUUCCAUUUUUAUACUAUCCAUUUUUUUAUUUUCCAUUUUUCUACUUUCCAUUUUUAUACUAUCCAUUUUUUUAUUUUCCAUUUUUUUAUUUUCCAUUUUUUUUAUUUUCCAUUUUUCUACUUUCCAUUUUUUUUAUUUUCCAUUUUUUUACUUUCCAUUUUUUUUAUUUUCCAUUUUUCUACUUUCCAUUUUUUUU